rnacentral:rRNA from 1 species
UCUUCGGAAUUAGAGACCGGCGCACGGGUGCGUAACGCGUAUGCAAUCUACCUUUCACAGAGGGAUAGCCCAGAGAAAUUUGGAUUAAUACCUCAUAGUAUUAUGAAAUGGCAUCAUUUUAUAAUUAAAGUCACGACGGUGAAAGAUGAGCAUGCGUCCCAUUAGCUAGUUGGUAAGGUAACGGCUUACCAAGGCUACGAUGGGUAGGGGUCCUGAGAGGGAGAUCCCCCACACUGGUACUGAGACACGGACCAGACUCCUACGGGAGGCAGCAGUGAGGAAUAUUGGACAAUGGGCGCAAGCCUGAUCCAGCCAUGCCGCGUGCAGGAUGACGGUCCUAUGGAUUGUAAACUGCUUUUGCACAGGAAGAAACAACUCUACGUGUAGAGUCUUGACGGUACUGUGAGAAUAAGGAUCGGCUAACUCCGUGCCAGUAGCCGCGGUAAUACGGAGGAUCCAAGCGUUAUCCGGAAUCAUUGGGUUUAAAGGGUCCGUAGGCGGUUUGGUAAGUCAGUGGUGAAAGCCCAUCGCUCAACGGUGGAACGGCCAUUGAUACUGCCAGACUUGAAUUAUUAGGAAGUAACUAGAAUAUGUAGUGUAGCGGUGAAAUGCUUAGAGAUUACAUGGAAUACCAAUUGCGAAGGCAGGUUACUACNAAUUGAUUGACGCUGA